ensembl:snRNA
ACCAUUGUUUUCUUGGAGUUGUGUGCUGUUCCAUGAGCGCACAGUGAGGGCAGUGCUGCUAACACCUACGUAACCUGCUUACAUCAACUAGAGCUUUGCGUUAUAUUGGUACAAUUUUUGGAAAA